GCAGGCGCAGAUGCGGCCUGGGCGCGCGGCCCGUGGCGGUUGGCGGCUCGUGGGGCCGGCGGGCGGUUGCCGUGAGCAGGACCAGAGCUCCGGCGCUGAGAGCCGGCGCCAUGGUGGAGAAGGAGGAGGCAGGCGGCGGUAUCAGCGAGGAGGAGGCGGCUCAGUAUGACCGGCAGAUCCGUCUCUGGGGAUUGGAGGCCCAGAAACGGCUGCGGGCCUCCCGGGUGCUUCUUGUUGGCAUGAAGGGACUCGGGGCUGAAAUCGCCAAGAAUCUCAUCCUGGCCGGAGUGAAAGGACUGACCAUGCUGGAUCACGAGCAGGUAUCUCCAGAAGACCCCGGAGCCCAGUUCCUGAUCCGUACUGGGUCUGUUGGCCGAAACAGGGCCGAAGCCUCUUUGGAGCGCGCACAGAAUCUCAACCCCAUGGUGGAUGUGAAAGUGGACACUGAGAAUAUAGAAAAGAAACCUGAGUCGUUUUUCACGCAAUUUGAUGCUGUAUGUCUGACUUGCUGCUCCAGGGAUAUCAUAGUUAAAGUUGACCAGAUCUGUCACAAAAAUAGCAUCAAGUUCUUUACGGGAGAUGUUUUUGGCUACCACGGAUACACGUUUGCCAAUCUCGGAGAGCAUGAAUUUGUAGAGGAGAAAACCAAAGUUGCCAAAGUUAGUCAAGGAGUAGAAGAUGGACCUGAUACCAAGAGAGCCAAACUUGAUUCAUCUGAGACAACCAUGGUCAAAAAGAAGGUGGUCUUCUGCUCCAUCAAAGAAGCGCUGGAAGUGGACUGGAGCAGUGAUAAAGCAAAGGCAGCUCUCAAGCGCACAACUCCAGAUUACUUUCUCCUUCAAGUGCUCCUGAAGUUCCGCACAGAUAAAGGAAGAGAUCCUAGUUCUGAUACCUUCGGGGAAGAUUCUGAGUUGUUGCUCCAGAUUCGAAACGAUGUGCUUGACUCCCUGGGUGUUAAUCCUGACCUGCUUCCUGAAGACUUUGUCAGUUCUGCAGUGGACCUUGGUACGCGGGAGGAAGAGCUGCCCUGUGGAUGGACAGAUGGGAGUGCUGGGCCCGGCCAGGGCAUGAGGAGAUGGGCAUCCCCAAGCACAGUUGAUGUACUGCUUCUCUGAGAUGGCCCCAGUGUGUGCAGUGGUUGGAGGGAUCCUGGCCCAGGAAAUUGUGAAGAUGAGAAAGUGGAUUGGGAUUGGCACUCAGUCCAAGGAGGAGAGGUUCGGGAUGUUUAGAGCACACUCCUGACCUUGUAAAGGAGGUCCUGCCUUAGGGACGACAACAUGGUGCUCCCGGAAACCUUGACACCCUGCCUAGCAGUCUGCGUAGGUGAUGUCUUCCUCUUUAAACAGUAACCCUUCUUGCGUUGAAAAUGUCCACUAUCGCCCAUGGACCUUUCCCAGUACACACAGGCCCUGUCUCAAAGGGACCCUCCUCACAACAACUUCUUCUUCUUUGAUGGCAUGAAGGGGAACGGGAUUGUGGAGUGCCUUGGCCCCAAGUGAACCCAAGACUUGGCAGCCCUGGUGAUGCUGCACUGCGGCAUGCCCACAUGUGACCCCUGUCCCCUUCCCCCGUGAAGGCCCUCUCCAGGCGAGGGAAAAGUGAAGUCAUCGAACCAAUACAAACCAUUUCCUGUGAGCAGUGAGGUCAUACAGAUGUGCUGCUUCUAAGCACCAGUGGCUGCUAAGCAAGGGGCGUAGGUCCUGGCUGUCGCCGUUCCCGUCCCAGGCCUGCGCGGCCAGCACCGGACAGCCCCCUCUGACUCCUCGUCGCGGCGUCACCAGUCCCCCCGGCCAGGAACCAGCACGCCUUGUUGCUUAGGAGCCUCUUGCCAUCUUCUUGGCCUUAGUCCCCGCCUGAUGUCACACAGAGAGGAGCAUGACUUCAGGUGGGGAGUAGGCCUAGGACUGAUGAAACACUAGUGGAACCACAGUUCCAAAUGCAGACAGGUGCCCUUAGAGAGGAAAAAACGUGGCAGGCGGAAUGUAUUUCCUCCAAAGUUUGAGACUCUGAAAAACAACAGGUGGCAUCUGGUGUGCUAUUCUUGAGUUUUAGUUGAGGAUUAGUUGAGUUCCAGCCUGGAUUUUGGACGAGAGGAAAUAUCACCAAGUCCUCUUGGGUAUGAGGGUGAGACCUUGCAAAUGGAAUAUUAGCGGGAAAGCUCGUUUUAAAAAGGCAGAUUCUCUGGUCCCACCCCCUGGGGAUUCUGACUCCUUGGCCGUGAGCUGGGACAGAGGAGCCUGCCCUUCCCACGGAGCCCCACUCCGACGCCGUGCCGACCCUCGCUCUGGAGGCUGUCGCGUGUUAAGGGCUGUAUCGGCCCAUCAUUUACCCCCCUGAAUUGCAGCUGUUCAUGUUUUUUUUAUAUUUUCUAUAUUUCCUUGGUUCUUUAAAAAGGAAUGAUUGAAAUAAAGUUAUUUGCUUUAGGA